rnacentral:other from 1 species
UGUUCCCUGCGGUGUUCGUCAAGGCCAUAUAUUCCUUGAACCAAUACCAAAGGCGUCGGUUGCUGACCUGAAAAUCCGCUGUUGUGCCCGCCCCUUGCCGGGUGGACCUGAUGUGGAAGGAAAGCGGCCUCAUCUGAAUCACGGUUCAGGAUGCCGGUCUAACGGCACAGGCGGGGACUUU